rnacentral:rRNA from 1 species
UUCCAGACUCCUACGGGAGGCAGCAGUGGGGGAUAUUGCACAAUGGGGGAAACCCUGAUGCGGCGACGCCGCGUGAGUGAAGGAGCGUUUCGGCGCGUAAAGCUCUAUCAGCAGGGAAGACAAACUGCCCCGGAAGGGGCAGCCGGACGGUACCUGACCAAGAGGCCCCGGCUAACUACGUGCCAGCAGCCGCGGUAAUACGUAGGGGGCAAGCGUUAUCCGGAUUUACUGGGUGUAAAGGGAGCGUAGACGGCAAGACAAGCCUGGAGUGAAAGGCGGGGGCCCAACCCCCGGACUGCUCUGGGAACUGUCUGGCUGGAGUGCAGGAGGGGUAGGUGGAAUUCCUAGUGUAGCGGUGAAAUGCGUAGAUAUUAGGAGGAACACCAGUGGCGAAGGCGGCUUACUGGACUGUAACUGACGUUGAGGCUCGAAAGCGUGGGGAGCAAACAGGAUUAGAUACCCCCGUAAA